UUCAUUUUCUUAUGAUAUUAUAAGGAGGUAUUAUUUUUAAAAAUUAAUAUUCUUUUUAUUCUUCUCAGGACUGGGAAUAUUUACUAAAUUCAGACUACCACCAGAAUGUUGAGUCUCAUCUUUUGAACAGAUCUUUAUGUCUGAGUCCUUCAGAAGCUUCACAGAUGAAGGAUGAGGAUUUUUCACAGAAUCUCAGUCUGGAUUCUUCUACACUUCCCUUUACUCACAUACCUGCAAUUUUUUUCGUUCUUCACCUUGUGUAUGAGGAGCUUAAGUUGAAUACUCUAAUGGGAGAAGGAAUUUGUUCACUUGUUGAACUUCUCAUUCAGUUGGCAAGGGACUUAAAAUUGGGGCCUUAUGUAGAUCAUUACUAUAGAGACUACCCAACGCUUGUCAGAACUACUGGACAAGUGUGCACAAUUGAUCCAGGUAAGUAGUCGUGCUUUUAAAUAUUUUCUAAACAGUGUAGUGAUAUUUCCUUGUAUCUUUCUCAAUGAAUAGCAGAGGAUGUAUUUCUUACCAUUAGCUUCUAAGUCAGGGGCAAUGCCUUUCCACCAGGCAGAUUUUAGUUCGUAGCGCUUGUUUUCUGACACGUAGUAAGCCAUAAUAUCUUCAGUGUAUAGGGAAAAUUUUACCCAUCCCUAAGGUUCUGACUUGCAAAAGUCAGAGAAAGAGCUUCCAGUGUCAAGGAUGCUUUUUUUUUUUUUUUUUGAGACGGAGUCUCGCUCUGUCACCCAGGCUGGUGUGCAGUGGCGCGAUCUCGGCUCACUGCAAACUCUGCCUCCUGGGUUCACGCCAUUCUCCUGCCUCAGCCUCCUGAGUAGCUGGGACUACAGGUGCCCGCCACCACGCCUGGCUAAUUUUUCUGUAUUUUUA
rnacentral:lncRNA from 1 species